GCUGGGUGUAGUGGCUUACACCUGUAUUUCCAGCGACUUGGAAGCUGAGGCAGGAGGAUCAAAGUUUGAGAUCAGCCCAGGCAAAACUCAGAGAGAACCUCAAGCAAUUUAGCAAGACUCUGUCUCUG
rnacentral:sRNA from 1 species